UCCGAGGUGGCUCAGUGGUAAAGAAUCUGCCUGCAAUGCAGGAGACCCAGGUUCAAUCCCUGGGUCAGGAA
rnacentral:tRNA from 1 species